UACGUAGGGAGCAAGCGUUGUCCGGAAUCAUUGGGCGUAAAGCGCGCGUAGGUGGCUUCGUAAGUCCGCUGUGAAAGUCAAAGGCUCAACCUUUGAAAGCCGGUGGAUACUGCGGGGCUAGAGUACGGAAGAGGCGAGUGGAAUUCCUGGUGUAGCGGUGAAAUGCGCAGAUAUCAGGAGGAACACCAAUGGCGAAGGCAGCUCGCUGGGACGGUACUGACGCUGAGACGCGAAAGCGUGGGGAGCAAACAGG
rnacentral:rRNA from 1 species